rnacentral:rRNA from 1 species
UGCGUAGGCGGGCAAUUAAGUCAGUGGUGAAAUCCUGCGGCUCAACCGUAGAACUGCCAUUGAAACUGAUUGUCUUGAGUGUACUGGAGGUAAGCGGAAUGUGCAGUGUAGCGGUGAAAUGCUUAGAUAUUGCACAGAACACCGAUUGCGAAGGCAGCUUACUAUAGUACCACUGACGCUGAUGCACGAAAGCGUGGGGAGCGAACAGGAUUAGAUACCCUGGUAGUCC